rnacentral:lncRNA from 1 species
UGUACAUUCCCCUGGACCUUUUCAUGAAGGAAUGUUUAUACCUGUGGGCAGGCACUAAUGGCAGUGAAAGGCUUGCAUUCACGGGAACAGCAUUUAGCAAUUCAUGGUUGCCAAGGUAAGCAACAAAGGCAUGCCCUCUGCCACUCCACUGCCUCUAAAAGAAACAGUCUCUAAGGUAACAGGCUAGCACCCCUUGAGGCCAAAAAUCUUUAGCUUUUUAGACAGAAAACGCACUAAAUAAUACCAAGAAAAGCAUUUUUUUUUGGUCAAGGAAUUUUUUUUCUUCUCAACAGAGAAGGGGCUCAAAGUGUUCUAUUUUUGGUUCUGCACAGGAAUUUAAUUCAGCUGCUGCCCAGUCUUUGUGCACUCAACACCCCUUUGACAGUUUGGUUUCGGGGGCACAUAGGACUAAUGAGCCAAGGCAUGACUGCAGUUGGAGACUGUCGCCUCCCAGGCCUGCGACUGUUGUUCAAGUGAAUAGGCAAUUUCUCUGAUUAGCUUGGAAUUUGUGGCAUUAGCCAGAUGGUUAUUUGGCAUGAGCCCUUUUUCCAGGAUCACAGUCAAUUUGAGAGAUUGAAUCACCUGAAGAAAAGGUCUGCAGAGACAGCAGUGGCUAGAUGCUGCCUGUGAUAGGAUGGGAGAAUGGGCUUCUCCUUGACUUCAUCUUGCUCUGCAGCUGCUUGCCAACCUCUUUUGUCUUACUGUACCAAAAGGGAAGAAGUAGGGUGAUGUGCAGUGAAGGCUCAGCCCUCCUUCCUUCCCAUAUCCCAGAUCCUCGGAGAGAGAAGAGGCAGAACAGUUCCUCAAGCCAGCAUGACGCUUUGCUUCAGAGACACUGUAGGAAGGACUGUGCCAUUCUGGCAGAGAUGAAGAACAAUUAUUCUUUCUGUUGUUGA